GUUAGGAAUUUUGGGCAAUGGGCGAAAGCCUGACCCAGCAACGCCGCGUGGGGGAUGACGGCCUUCGGGUUGUAAACCCCUUUUCCCGGGGACGAUGAUGACGGUACCCGAGGAAGAAGUCCCGGCUAACUACGUGCCAGCAGCCGCGGUAAUACGUAGGGGGCCAGCGUUGUCCGGAUUUAUUGGGCGUAAAGCGCGCGUAGGCGGUCCCGUAGGUCGCCCGUGACAGCCCCCGGCUCAACCGGGGGGGGUCGGGCGAAACCACGCGACUCGAGGCCGGUAGGGGGGAGCGGAAUUCCCGGUGUAGUGGUGGAAUGCGUAGAGAUCGGGAGGAACACCCGUGGCGAAGGCGGCUCCCUGGCCCGGUUCUGACGCUGAGGCGCGAAAGCGUGGGGAGCGAUCCGGAUUAGAUACCCGAGUAGUCC
rnacentral:rRNA from 1 species